AUAUUCGCUUGGGCAGUAUAUAUGCUAAAAACUGGAACGAUGCAGAGGAUAUUAGCAUGGCUCCUGCGCAAGGAGCAUGCAAAAUCAUAGAAAAAAGGCUACUAAUC